rnacentral:misc_RNA from 1 species
CCGUCGAGGAGUCAGCCCGGGUGAGCCAAACAAGAUCCGUUUGACGUAGAUAAAACGAAUUAGUCUCAUGUAACCGGUGCCGUAGAUACGUUUGUGGGGAGCUGAUGCGCAUUAGCGUAGUGCGUAUUUGGAACGGAUCGCUCAUGUAACCCCGAGGUGAUGUUCUGAGCUGCGUCCGUGCGAAUCGGAGCUGCCACCAUGUGGAUGCCAACGCACGUCCAGCUGACCGUGCAGCGCGCCAGGGGACUGCUGGUCAAAGGGAAAAACGGCACCAACGACUGCUUUGUGGUGAUCAGCCUGGGCAAGGAGAAGUACCAGACGUCCGUCAAGGAGAAGUCGCCUCCCAACGUCGAGUGGUGCGAGGAAUGCGAACUGACGAUCCCCAGCCAGGGCAACACGGCCGAGAUACGUCUGCAGGUGCUGCACCGCAACUUCCUGGGCGUGGACGAGUUCCUCGGACAGACCUCCAUCCCGCUGGCCGACUUUGAUGUCUACGAGCUGCCGCGCAACAGAACGUACCAGCUACACAGCAAGCCGGAGAAGAAGGACAACAAGCCGCGCGGUGAGCUCGAGGUGCGCCUGGGCUUCACGGUGAAGGCCGCCUCGUCGAGCACGGCCGACCUGCGCGCGGGCGAGAAGCUGCGCUCGUCGCUGGUCAGCCUGCCCAAGGUGGCCGGCCACCUGGGCGGCAGCCUGGCCAGCCUGGGCCACAAGAAGAAGAGCAUCAAGAAGCUGGCCUCGUCGGUCGGUCACAAGGUGGCGAAGGCGGGCGGUCGUCGGCGCGGCUCUUCGCGCGCCGGCAGCGAGGCCGGCUCGGAUGUCGGCAGUGACCUCGGCUGGGACGACGCCGCCUCGAGCAACGCUGACCCGGGCGUCAUCUCUGAGGGCGAGGAGGAUGAGUUCGGGUUUGAUGACCACCACCACGGCCGUAAGCCGGCGACACCGGACCUGCACGGCUCCCUGGGACGUCAGCUACACAGAGGCACGCCGACGGUCGACGAGACGCCGCUCUCCAGCCUGUCGAGCUCGGUGCAGUCGGGUCUGAGCGAGGCGCCGCCGGCCGCGCCGCACCUGGCCGCCAUCUCUGAGCGGCCGGCCGAGACGGCCCAGGCGGCCGCGCGGGCCGACAGUCCCGAACCGUCAGCUCGGCGGCUGGGAGUGUCGGCUCGCUCGUCGGGCCGCCUGGGACGCGACGAGCCUCGGGAGAGGGUCGCCGUCGCCGACGACACGCCCGACGAGCCGCCCGAGGGCGACGUCAAGGCGAAGAAGAAGCUGGAGAAGAUGAUGUCGCCGCUCAAGAAGACGCCGCAGAUCUUCCGCCAGCUGGCCGCCAAGAAGGAGAAAGAUCCGAUGGAUGUGUUCGAGAGAGAGCCGGCUUCGGAAGAGCAGUCACCGGGCGCCACCGUGUCACUGCUGCCGCUCUCUGACGGCCGCGAGUCCCGCGUGGUGGAGGGCGGCAACGAGCGACGGCCGGCCGCCGCCGAGCCGUCGCGCCUCUCGCCAGAGACGCUGCGCGCCUUCGACGGCCGCUCGCGAGACAGUCUGAUCGAGCAGGUGCGCAGCCUGCAGGACGAACUGAAAAAGGUCAAGGACGAGCUGAAAAAGUCCAAGGCACAGGCGUCUGACCUGGAGGAGUACCUGGACACGCUGCUGCUGCGCGUCAUGGUGUCGCACCCCGACCUGCUGCAGAACCCGCUACGUAACGCCGCCGGAGUCAAGUACGCCGGCCGCGCCUGCUGAGAGCCCCCCGCGGCCAGGCACGGGUGCGGACCGGACGUUCGGAUGGCGGUGUCGGCGAGCAGAAGGCAGUGCGGACAGCGGGGACAUCGGCCGGCGCUACCGGUAGGAAGAAAACGUCCCAGGAAAAGGCAGCCGGGGAAUUAAUGUCAGUCUUCGGUGGGUGGCAUCCGUUUCGGCCCUCAUUCACCGUCAGCAUUUUUUAUCAGCCAAUAAUCGGUAGUAGUCACGCUAGCCGUCGCCCGUCUCCGCGGGCAGCCGCGCGGCAGGGCGUGGCGGCCCGCUCCUGAGCAAGUGUCGUCGGGCGGGCCGCCGCCCGCCGCAGCGGCCACCGUUGUUUGAUCGGACUUUGAUCAGUUGAUUGGUGCAGUGGCCGAGUGCAGUGCAGGCCCGGCUGCUGCUCAGAAGCGCAGCCUGUUCGCUCGUCUGGCCAGCGGCAGCUGAAUGCGCUCCCGUCUUCCGCGUGCCGGCAGCGUGUCGGUCUGAUUAUGACUGCCAGUGUGUGGUCGGCCGGUCGCGGGACCAAUCGCUGCGCUGCGGCUUCCCUCUCUCAGUGCCCUCGGCCACGCCGGGUCGCAGGAGCCGUCUGCUGUGAGUAAAGGCUCUGUAUGUAGAGCUCUGGCGGCUCUAUGUCUCGCUGCACUGCUGCUGCGCAGUAGGACAGCUAAACAGACUGUCGGAUUACGGCGACGGAGCGAUGCGACUCCAAAUGGCCCGACGACUUAAAAUGUCACGCUGAUGGUAAUGGACGAUUGUUCCAGCUGCCCUAGCUGCGUAGAUUUCAGAGCCAGCGCACCUCACUGUUCCCGGGCGCUGCUGCACAUUUGCGUGUAUUGGGCCCAACAUCACCUUGUAAUCGCCGCGCGAUCACGUUUUCCCAACACCACUUCACACCCCUCAGGCAGCGUAUUGCCCACUAGCCUAUACCACGAACUCUGCCCCGCGCGGCCCUCGGCUCGGAGUGUGCUUCGGAGUGUGAAUGGGCCGUGAACAAGGCUUCCUAUUGACUUAUCUUCCUGUUCCGUCUGUAUGUCUUCCGUCCAGCCUUCCCAGUCGGCAGCUGUCUUUCUGCCGUCCUUUCCGAAGUAGCCGCCGCCCCUCCCCUACUGGGGGCUCGUCGGAGACGAUUACCCGCAUGCGAUAUGAGAGCGGGCCGGGUCGGAGGAGGCUUGAUAGUGGCCGAGACGGCCGGCGAACACUUCUCGGAAAGUCGUGUGGACGCCGCGCGCGGCCCGCGUCGGCGGCGACGCAGCCGGGUUCUCGGUACCGCCGACGGUGUUGUGUCGGUCGCGUCGCGGCCCAGCGAGCGGCAGAGUCUUCCGGGAGUCGUUUUCGACGAAUGAUGUGUGUUGAUGUGGCUGAAAUGCGGGCGGCUCCGUCUGCGAACGGCGAUCUGCAGCCGGUUAGGGUCGCCGGAUGGCCGGAGUGGCCGUCGGCUCGGCCCGGGUCGCGCUCUGUGGUCGGAGUGGGGACGGUGAUGGCGGUGUCCCGGCCGGCCCCGUCCGAGAUCGGGGGACGGGGCCGCUGGCGCCGGUCCGCCCGAUCCCGCACUGGCACCGGCCCUGGUCCACAGUGGCUCGGUUAUCGCGGCUCACCUACUUAGGAUCGACUGUAGUGCCAAACGAGAGGCAGCAGAGUCUCUGACUGGCCGGCGCCGCCCACCGGCACAUCUCCGCGACUCCAGCUUUAACGUUCUUGUUACAACCCGCGUUAUAGAACGGAGUUUUAUCAGCACAAGCGUUUUGUUAUUUCUGAUUUAUGUUAUGAUACACUAUUUGGUGGUGGUAGUUAGUUAAUUGUUAGGUUCACUUUAUUGUAAUGGCGAGUUACUUAGUUACCUUACUAGCACACCAUUUAGGCACUUGAUAUUGUGCGCGUUGAGCCCUGUGUAGCAGCAGCAACCGAUGUCUUCCAAGAUACAGAGUAUAUUUAUGCGUAUUGUUAUCACUAUUUAUUGCGUUGUAGUGCGUGAUUCGGUCACACACAAUUCAUUGUCGCUUGUUUCGUAACGUGUAUCCUAAACACUGGUUGUGUGCCGAAAACUGGCUGUAAAUUUUGACCGUUUACAUUAUAUGCAGUAAUGAUACGCUCAUGGAAUGUAUGAUCACACUGCACAAGCCCUGUAUUGCCGCGACACUUUAUAAUAAAGCACAUGCUCAAUGAA